UACGAAGGGGGCUAGCGUUGUUCGGAAUUACUGGGCGUAAAGCGCGCGCAGGCGGCUAUCCAAGUCAGUGGUGAAAGCCCGGAGCUUAACUCCGGAAUUGCCUUUAAAACUGCAUCGCUAGAAUUGUGGAGAGGUGAGUGGAAUUCCGAGUGUAGAGGUGAAAUUCGUAGAUAUUCGGAAGAACACCAGUGGCGAAGGCGACUCACUGGACACAUAUUGACGCUGAGGUGCGAAAGCGUGGGGAGCAAACAGGG
rnacentral:rRNA from 1 species